AGUUUCGUGGUCUAGUUAGUUAUGACACCUUGCUAACACUAAGGUGGUCCCCGGUUUAAACCUAGGCGAAACUA